AUGUACAAAGAGAGACGAGGGAAGUUGAUCAGUGAUGCUUGGCAACAUGGAGUAGAUAAUUUUCUAGAUCAUGCAUUCUCAUUGCCCGAUGCUGCUGCAGACGGGAAAUCCCGUUGUCCUUGCAGCAAGUGCUUUUGCGGUCAUAAGUGCACAAGGGAUGUCAUGACCACACACUUGUGCAGCAAUGGGUUCAUGUUAGGAUAUGAGAGAUGGACUAGCCACGGGGAGUCUGGUGCACCUGAAAAUGUAGAGCAUGAUAACGUGGGGGAUGGAGAUAGAAUGAAUGACAUGCUAGUUGAUGCAAUUGUUGCUGAAGGAGUUUCUAAAGGUGAUGAGCCAACAAAAGCUGCUAAAAAAUUCUAUGAAAUGUCGAUGGAAGCCGACAAACCUUUGCAUGAGAAGACCACACAAUCACGUCUAUCCAUUGUAGGAAGGCUAAUGACUAUUAAAACACAACAUAAUCUGUCAGAAGCUUGUUACAAUGAGAUGAUGACUCUUAUACAUGACAUUGUUGGGGAUGAUGCUGCAAAAGAUCUCCCAGCAAACUUCCAUAGGUCCAAGAAGCUUGUGCAUAGUCUAGCAAUGCCUUACGUCAAAAUUCAUGCAUGCCCCAAUAAUUGUAUGAUUUAUUAUAAGGAGAAUGAAAAUAAAGAAAAAUGCACUAUCUGCAAAGAACCUAGAUAUGAGGAAACAACCGCAGGAAAUAAAUCUACGAAGAUACCAAGAAAAGUUCUGCGCUAUCUCCCAAUUACUCCUAGGCUACAACGGUUGUACAUGUCACAAAGCACUGCCAAGCACAUGGACUAUCACGCAAGGCCUCAUAACAGUGAUGAAGUAAUGGUUCACCCUUCUCAUGGUGAAGCUUGGAAGGAAUUUAAUAAGGAAUUUAAAAAAUUUGCUGAGGAAGUAAGGAAUAUAAGGCUAUGUCUAGCAACUGACGGAUUCACACCUUUUGGUAUUACAGCAGCCUCCUACUCAUGUUGGCCAGUAUUUGUUGUGCCUUAUAAUCUUCCACCAGAAAUGUGCAUGAAGCAGAGUAACCUGAUCCUUGCACUAGUUAUUCCCGGUCCAGAUCAUCCAGGAAAGAACCCUAUAUGUGGAUCUGACAUAAAGACAUUCUCAUUGAAGAAUGGGAGAAAACCAUGCUGGUUUGACUGCCAUAGGAUAUUCCUUCCCACUGACCAUGCAUUUCGUAGGAGUGUGAAAUGUUUUCGCAAGAAAAAAACAGUUUUAGAUCCUCCACCAAAGCCCUUGUCAGGAGAACAGGUGUAUGAAGAACUCCAAAGUCUUGUCCAUGAUGAAACUGGCAAGAGUAAAUUUGAGGGGUUUGGGAAGGAGCACAAUUGGAUAGCUAUAAGUGGUUUGUGGAAGCUAGAGUAUUUUCGGAAGUUGCUGCUUCGCCAUAACAUUGAUGUAAUGCACAAUGAGAAAAAUGUAUCUGAGGCUUUACUAAACACAUGCCUUGAUAUUCCUGAGAAAACUAAGGAUAGCAACAAAGCACGCCUUGAUGUUGCUUUGUAUUGUGAUCGACCAAAGCUACACCUGAACAAGAAUUCAAGGGGUGUGUGGAAGAAACCUAGAGCGAAAUAUUGUGUCAGCAAGGAAGAUAGAAUGACCAUCCUUAAGUGGUUUAAAGAAGUGAAGUUUUCUGAUAGGUUUGCUGCUAAUUUGAGUAAAACUGUCAACUUGAGUAAAAACAAAUUCAUUGGGCUGAAAAGCCAUGACCACCACAUCAUCAUGGAG
rnacentral:rRNA from 1 species